CACCGGCGGCUCGAGUGGUGGCCACUUUUAUUGGGUCUAAAGCGUCCGUAGCCGGCUUGGCAAGUCCCCUGGGAAAUCUGGCGGCUUAACCGUCAGGCGUCCAGAGGAUACUGCCAGGCUUGGGACCGGGAGAGGUGAGAGGUACCUCAGGGGUAGGGGUGAAAUCUUGUGAUCCCUGAGGGACCACCAGUGGCGAAGGCGUCUCACUAGAACGGGUCCGACGGUCAGGGACGAAAGCUGGGGGCGCGAACCGG
rnacentral:rRNA from 1 species